CUUCACCGACCCCAGCCACAGCGGACGGUCGGCGUCGCGGUCCUGCCCGUAGGUGGCCAGCAGCGCCUGCGCCUC
rnacentral:antisense_RNA from 1 species